UACAGAGGUCUCAAGCGUUGUUCGGAUUCAUUGGGCGUAAAGGGUGCGUAGGUGGUGGCGCAAGUCUGGUGUGAAAUCUCGGAGCUCAACUCCGAAAUUGCACCGGAUACUGCGUGACUCGAGGACUGUAGAGGAGAUCGGAAUUCACGGUGUAGCAGUGAAAUGCGUAGAUAUCGUGAGGAAGACCAGUUGCGAAGGCGGAUCUCUGGGCAGUUCCUGACACUGAGGCACGAAGGCCAGGGGAGCAAACGG
rnacentral:rRNA from 1 species